GUGAGCCCUUAAAAGGGACAGAAAUUUUGCACUCGGGGAGCUCAGAUUUUAAGACAGUAGCUUGCUGAUGCUCCCAGCUGAAUAAAGCCCUUCCUUCUACAACUCGGUGUCUGAGGGGUUUUGUCUGCAGCUCGUCCUGCUACAAUGGUGGUUCCUUUAUAGAGUCCAUCUGCUCACUACAUGUGAUUCAAGCCUAGCUCGAAAGAUAGGCAAGUGAUGACUUAGGACACUGUCAAUGGCAUGAGACUUCUUUCCAAGCUAUCAGAAGACCGCCUUCUUUUCCCACUGCUACUGCCAGGAUAUUCAUGAUUCCCUACCUUGAAUCAAUGCCGCCAUCUUCCUUUUAACUCAGGGACUAUGAGAUACACAGGUCUUCAAUGCCAGUCACCUCAUGGACUCACCACCUAGUUUAUCAAGGAGAAGUUGAUGCUGGGAGCAACUACAAAAAUGAAGCUACUCUGAUUUAGCCAAAAAGAUUCUCCAUUCUAAGGACUCCUGUGAUUUGAUUGGGAGCCUCUACAUCAUUCAGGAGAAUCCUCUGACCUCAAGUUCUGUAACCUGAAUCACAUCAUAAGACUUCAGCUGGCAGAGCAACACAAGCAGCUGAAUAUCAAGAGGUGAAGAAGCAACUGGGCAUCUGAGACUAUGGAUAGAUGCGACUUAACUUCAGACGGCACAACUUUGGAGAGGAGCCCAGAUGGAGACGACCAGGCUUCAAGGAAAGAUCACCUUCUUCUUGCACCCCCCUUUCAGCUCCCCUUCUGCUGAGAGCUACUUCCACUGCCUAAUAAAAUCCUCUGCAUCAUCACCUUUCAAACCAUUCGUGCGACCUGAUUCUUCCUGGAUGCCGAACAAGAACCUGGGAACCAAGAGGGCAGAGUAUUAGGCUGUCACCCUGACUCUCCACUAAGCUGGUUAACACUUAGCUGCCAUGGACAGCAACUCCUAAAAGAGCAUUAAUUUUAUCACACCCCUAGACGCUGCCAGGGGGCUGGAGCCCAAAAGCAUUUGCCCCAGCUCCAACACCCACUUGCCUGUGUGCUCCCUCCCGUGAGGGGUUGAGCCCAGUGGGUUUGAGUGAGUGAAGUUCAUCCCUGUUGGCAGCAAAGUGGCAGGCUGAACCCAGAGCCAGUGCACUCUAGUUCCCAUCUGCAAAAGGGUCAAAGGAACUCUCCUGUCUCAACAACAUAUUACUGACUAACACAAGCAUCUUAUGCCUGGUAGCAUCAAAUUAAGCAAAGGGUAGCCCGAAUGCCAUGUCUUCACAUUUUAUUCCACUUGGAUCUCCUGUAGAAUGGCUGUUUACCAUGGAAGGGCUGAUUCCAAUUCUCACGUUAAUCACUUACAAGGCAGAAACCAGCUAGUCUAGACUGGUAAAGGGCUUUCCAGUUCAUUCAUCAGCCUCCUCUGAUUCUCUCAGGGCUCAUUCAGAUGUUCCCAAUCCUUUCACAAGAUUACAAUUCAACACAUAUGGAAGCACAAAAAAAAAUGCUGAUUUCCCCACAUAAAUAAUAAUUAAUUACUAAUGAAGAUAAUGGUGACAGACUAUGGGACUUAAGAAAAAACCUACGAGGAUGUAUCACAAGACAAAUCCUUCUAAAAAUUAAACUAUUUGCAGACAAUCAGAAAGUCAAAACUAACAAUCUCUUAAACAUUUCUCAGAUAUGGCUGUAAUAACAUAGCAUUCCUAUAAAAAUGAACUUUUAGGUUAAAUAUAUCUUUACACAUACAUGCACUUGCACCCACAUGUACACACAAUCUAUUUUUGGAUCUACUGAAUAAAGCAUCAUUAUUUAAAGUGAAGCAAUAAAAGUUUCAACGUCUUUUUUUCUAAGUAUUAGCCUUGAAGUUAUUCACCCUAACCAAA
rnacentral:lncRNA from 1 species